rfam:Seonamhaeicola sp. S2-3, complete genome.
UUUUAGCCCCGAUAGAAGCGGCAUCCUUUUUUGAGGUACGAGAAAAAGAUACAGCGGAUAGCGGGAAAUAGC